AAACUAGGAUUAGAUACCCUAUUAUUUAAAAUAUAAUUAUAAAUACUUAAGUAGUAGUAGUUAUGUUCUUGAAACUUAAAAAAUUUGGCGGUAUUUUAGUCUAUCCAGAGGAACCUGUUUUGUAAUCGAUAAUCCACGAUGGACCUUACUUAAGUUUGUAAUCAGUUUAUAUACCGUCGUUAUCAGAAUAUUUUAUAAGAAUAAAAAUAUUCAAUAAUUUAUAUUAAAAUUUAUAUCAGAUCAAGGUGUAGCUUAUAUUUAAGUAAUAAUGGGUUACAAUAAAAAUAUUUAAACGAAUAAAAUAAUGAAAAAAUUUUUGAAGGUGGAUUUGGUAGUAAAAUUAUAAAGAUUAAUAAUUUGAUUUUAGCUCUAAAAUAUGUACACAUCGCCCGUCGCUCUUAUUAUUAAGGUAAGAUAAGUCGUAACAUAGUA
rnacentral:rRNA from 1 species